rnacentral:lncRNA from 1 species
UUUUUUUUUUUUUUUAAGGCCAUACCUGUGGCACCUGGAAGUUCCCAUGCUAGGGCUGGGAUCAGUUGCAGCUAAGGCCUGUGUCACCCCCUUAGCAAUACUGGAUCCAAGAUGUCUCUGCCUCCCAUGCUAAGGCUUGUGGCAACAUCAGAUCCUUAAUCCACUGAGCAAGGUCAGGGUUUAAACACACAUCCUCACAGAAACAACAUCAAGUUCUUUUUCCUUUUCCUUUUAUUCUUUUUAGAUCUUUUGAGGGUCACACCUGGGGCAGGUGGAACUUCCCAGACUAGGGGUGAAUCAGAGCUAUAGCUGCUGACCUGCACCACAGCCACAGCAAAGCCAGAUCUAAGCCAUAUCUGUGACCUACACUGCAGCUCACUGCAACGCCACAUCCUUAACCCACUGAGCAAGGUCAGAGAUUGACCUCCCAUCCUCAUGGAUCCUAGUCAGGUUCACUACCACUGAGUCACAACAGGAACUCCCCAAUGUCGAGUUCUUAACCUGCUGACCCACAACAGGAACUCCUGCUCAGGUAUUCUUAAACAAGAAGAGAAUUGGCGGGGGGAGGUGGGAGGGGGAGAGGGGGAGAUAAUUUCUACAGAAUAAAAGUGUUCAGUUUGAUGAGUGUUGACAGUUGAAUAUAUUUGUGUAUCAUUACCGAAAACAAGAUGUAAAAUAUUUCUAGGAGUUUCCGUCGUGGCUCAGUGGUUAAUGAAUCUGACUAGGAACCAUGAGGUUGCGAGUUCGAUCCCUGGCCUUGCUCAAUGGGUUAAGGAUCCGGCAUUGCCAUGAGCUGUGGUGUAGGUCACAAAUGCAGCUCAGAUCCCCUGUUGCUGUGGCUCUGGUGUAGGAUGUGGCUAAGCUCCGAUGAGACCCCUAGCCUGGGAACCUCCAUAUGCCACAGGAACAGCCCAAGAAAUAGCAACAAUAACAACAACAACAACAAAAAAGACAAAAGACAAAAAAAACAAAACAAAACAAAAAAAAAACCGAACUAGUAUCCAUGAAGAUGCAUAUUUGAUCUUGGCCCCACUCAGAUGCAUAUUUGAUCUUGGCCCCACUCAGUUGGUUAAGGAUCUGGCAUUGCCAUGAGCUAUGGUGUAGGUCACUGACUUGGCUUGGAUCCCACAUUUUUGUGGCUGUGGUGUAGGCCAGCAGUUACAGCUCUGAUUUGAUGCCUAGCCUUUGAGCUUCCAUGUGCCUUGGAUGUGGCCUUAAAAAGCAAACAAACCAACCAGCUGUCUAAAUCCCAGACAAAACCCUCAUUUUUUUUUUGAAGAAAUUAACAAAUUGAUUCUAAAAUGUGUAUGGAACACAAAGGUUCUAGAAUAGCCAAAAAAAAAAAAAUCUUCAAAAGAAAUGGAAAGUUGGGGAACUUACACUGCUUAAACUAAGUGUAAAGCUACAGUUAAGCUACAGUGAUCAAAACAAUUUGGCCUUGGUGUAAAGGUAGGAAAAUAGAUCAAUAAAAUAGAAAUGAACCUUCACCAGUGCUGUCAGUUUAUUUCUGCCCAGAGGGCCAAGUCAGUUUUCCUUUUCCCAAUGAGGAAAAGGAAAGUCUCUUGAACCAAUGCUUCUGGAUCAUCUAGAUAUUCACGUGGAAACAGAAUGAGCUUUGACCUCAUUCUGUAAACACACACUCACUUGGUAUGGAUCAUAAACCUAAAUAUAAAAGCUAAAACCAUAAACUUCUGUAAGAAAAUAUAGGGGCUAUCUGGGGAUAGGUAAAUAUUUUUGUUUACAUGAAAAGCAUGAACUACAAGAGAAAGAGAUAAACUAAGAGAAUGAACAGGCAAGCUGCAGCCUGGGAGAAAAUAUUCAGAUUACAUGUCUGAAAAUAUUUUUGUUUUUCCAAAAGACCAUUAGCAUCAUUCAGGUCCAUGGUGUCCUGUUAAAAUGCUUUCUGUUAAUUUUACCAAUCACAUUUGUGGAGGUUUUUGUUUUUGUUGUUAAAGAGGGAGAUACAGGACAUUGUAUCAAAGGGACAGUGCUUUCUCCUGUGUGUUUGGACUGGAUUCUCCUAUUUACUUUGCUCUCCAUGAAUGUCGGUUCCUUUUUGUUUACACUUUGCCUACUAGUCAAUGACUUCUUACAGUGGAGUUCCUAUGGUGGUUCAGUGGUAAUGAACCCAGCUGGUGUCUAUGAAGAUGUGGGUUCAAUUCCUGGCCUUGCUCAGUGGGGUAAGGAUCCAGUGUUGCCUUGAGCUGUGGUGUAGGUUAGGGACUUGGCUCAGAUCUGCUGUGGCUGUGGCUGUGGCUGUGGUGGAGACCAGCAGCUGCAGCUCCUAUUUGACCCCUUGCCUGGGGACUUCCAAAUGCCACAAGUGGGGCCCUAAAAACACCAAAAAAAAAGAGAAAAGAAAAGAAAAGGACUGUUUACAUUAGAAAUGGUAGUUUGUAGAUCAUGUUGCUCCUUGUAAAGUAAUAAAUGUGAGAUGAAGCCAAGAAGCAAUUCCUGUGGUCUUCUUUAGGAGGAAACUGGCUUUGAGUCUUCUUAGUUAUUCAGGCCCAGUUUUUAGAUGAUCAAGCACUCAAGAUCUUGUGAAUCUCCUUAGGAAAAAAAGCUUUCAGAAACUCCCAGUAAGG